UACGGAGGGGGCUAGCGUUGUUCGGAAUUACUGGGCGUAAAGCGCACGUAGGCGGCUUUGUAAGUUAGAGGUGAAAGCCCAGGGCUUAACCCUGGAAUUGCCUUUAAGACUGCAUCGCUAGAAUCGUGGAGAGGUGAGUGGAAUUCCGAGUGUAGAGGUGAAAUUCGUAGAUAUCAGGAGGAACACCUGUGGCGAAAGCGGCUCACUGGACCAUAACUGACGCUGAUGCACGAAAGCUAGGGGAGCAAACAGG
rnacentral:rRNA from 1 species